rnacentral:rRNA from 1 species
CCUACGGGGGGCUGCAGUGGGGAAUAUUGGACAAUGGGGGCAACCCUGAUCCAGCCAUGCCGCGUGUGUGAAGAAGGCCCUCGGGUUGUAAAGCACUUUCAGUGAGGAAGAACGCCUGGUGGUUAAUACCCAUCAGGAAAGACAUCACUCACAGAAGAAGCACCGGCUAACUCCGUGCCAGCAGCCGCGGUAAUACGGAGGGUGCGAGCGUUAAUCGGAAUUACUGGGCGUAAAGCGCGCGUAGGUGGCUUGAUAAGCCGGUUGUGAAAGCCCCGGGCUCAACCUGGGAACGGCAUCCGGGACUGUCAAGCUAGAGUGCAGGAGAGGAAGGUAGAAUUCCCGGUGUAGCGGUGAAAUGCGUAGAGAUCGGGAGGAAUACCAGUGGCGAAGGCGGCCUUCUGGACUGACACUGACACUGAGGUGCGAAAGCGUGGGUAGCAAACAGGAUUAGAUACCCCUGUAGUC